rnacentral:rRNA from 1 species
CAGCGGAGCAUGUGGUUUAAUUCGAUGCAACGCGAAGAACCUUACCUGGGCUUGACAUGUAACUGACAGCNGUGGAAACAGUCUCCAGUAACAGGUGUGACGAGCGCAACCCCUGUCCUAUGUUGCCAUCGGGAUGUCAAGUAUCAUGCCCCUUAUGUCCAGGCUACAUACAUGGCCGAUACAAGGGUUGCGAUACCGCGAGGUGGAGCGUCCCAAAAAGUCGGUCUCGGUUCNGAUUGGAGUGCAAUUCGCCUCCAUGAAGCUGGAGCUGCUAGUAAUCGGGAUCAACAACGCCGCGGUGGAUACGUUCCCGGGCCUUGUACACACCGCCGUCACACCACGAAAGCGAGCAACGCCCCAAGCCGGUGUCCUAACCCUUACGGGAGGGAGCCGUCNAAGUGGGGCCCGUGAUUGGGGUG